UACGGAGGGUGCGAGCGUUGUCCGGAAUCACUGGGCGUAAAGGGCGCGUAGGCGGCGCGGGAAGUCCGUGGUGAAAGCCCGAGGCUCAACUUCGGGUCGGCCAUGGAUACUCCUGGGCUCGAGCACUGUAGAGGCAGGUGGAAUUCCGGGUGUAGCGGUGGAAUGCGUAGAGAUCCGGAAGAACACCGGUGGCGAAGGCGGCCUGCUGGGCAGUAGCCGGAAAGGCUUGAAAGCUGACGCUGAGGCGCGACAGCGUGGGGAGCAAACAGG
rnacentral:rRNA from 1 species